rnacentral:rRNA from 1 species
UACGCCUACGGGGCGCAGCAGUCGGGAAUAUUGCGCAAUGGAGGAAACCCUGACGCAGUGACGCCGCGUAUAGGAAGAAGGUUUUCGGAUUGUAAACUAUUGUCGUGAGGGAAGAAAUUGACAGUACCUCAGGAGGAAGCUCCGGCUAACUAUGUGCCAGCAGCCGCGGUAAUACAUAGGGAGCAAGCGUUAUCCGGAUUUAUUGGGUGUAAAGGGUGCGUAGACGGGAAAUUAAGUUAGUUGUGAAAUCCCUCGGCUUAAAUGAGGAACUGCAACUAAAACUGUUUUUCUUGAGUAGUGGAGAG